GACGAACGCUGGCGGCGUGCUUAACACAUGCAAGUCGAACGGAUCUUCUCUGGACAGUAAUGUUUGGGGUUGGUUAGUGGCGAACGGGUGAGUAACACGUGAGACACCGGCCCUGACGACGGGGAUAACUGACCGAAAGGUCUGCUAAUACCCGAUGUCCUCGCGGGAUCGCAUGGUUGUGUGAGGAAAAGGAUUCCGCUUUAGGAGGGUCUCGCGGGCUAUCAGCUUGUUGGUGAGGUAAUGGCUCACCAAGGCGACGACGGCUAGCUGGUCUCAGAGGACGACCAGCCACACGGGGACUGAGACACGGCCCAGACUCCUACGGGAGGCAGCAGUGGGGGAUCUUGCGCAAUGGGCGGAAGCCUGACGCAGCAACGCCGCGUGUGGGAUGACGGCUUUCGGGUUGUAAACCACUUUCAGCAGGAACGAAAUUGACGGUACCUGCAGAAGAAGCACCGGCCAACUACGUGCCAGCCGCCGCAGUAA
rnacentral:rRNA from 1 species